rnacentral:rRNA from 1 species
AUUGAACGCUGGCGGCAUGCCUUACACAUGCAAGUCGAACGGUAACGGGCCUUCGGGUGCCGACGAGUGGCGAACGGGUGAGUAAUACAUCGGAACGUGCCCGAUCGUGGGGGAUAACGAGGCGAAAGCUUUGCUAAUACCGCAUACGAUCUACGGAUGAAAGCAGGGGACCGCAAGGCCUUGCGCGGACGGAGCGGCCGAUGGCAGAUUAGGUAGUUGGUGGGAUAAAAGCUUACCAAGCCGACGAUCUGUAGCUGGUCUGAGAGGAUGAUCAGCCACACUGGGACUGAGACACGGCCCAGACUCCUACGGGAGGCAGCAGUGGGGAAUUUUGGACAAUGGGCGCAAGCCUGAUCCAGCCAUGCCGCGUGCAGGAUGAAGGCCUUCGGGUUGUAAACUGCUUUUGUACGGAACGAAAAGCCUUCUUUUAAUACAGGAGGGUCAUGACGGUACCAUAAGAAUAAGCACCGGCUAACUACGUG